GAUAUACAUAUAGGGUGUGUUC
rnacentral:piRNA from 1 species